CCUACGGGAGGCAGCAGUGAGGAAUAUUGGUCAAUGGACGAGAGUCUGAACCAGCCAAGUAGCGUGAAUGAUGACUGCCCUAUGUGUUGUAAACUUUUUUUAUAUGGGAAUAAAUUGUUCUACGUGUGUAAUUUUGUAUGUAUCAUAUGAAUAAGGAUCGGCUAACUCCGUGUCAGCAGCCGCGGUAAUACGGAGGUUCCGAGCGUUAUCCGGAUUUAUUGGGUUGAAAGGGAGCGUAGAUGGAUUGUUAAGUCAGUUGUGAAAGUUUGCGGCUCAACCGUAAAAUUGCAGUUGAAACUGGCAGUCUUGAGUACAGUAGAGGUGAGCGGAAUUCGUAGUGUAGCGGUGAAAUGCUUAGAUAUCAGGAAGAACUCCGAUUGCGAAGGCAGCUCACUGGACUGCAACUGACACUGAGGCUCGAAAGUGUGGGUAUCAAACAGGAUUAGAUACCCUAGUAGUC
rnacentral:rRNA from 1 species